UACAGAGGGUGCAAGCGUUAUUCGGAAUUAUUGGGCGUAAAGCGCGCGUAGGCGGCUUGGUAAGUCUGGUGUGAAAUCCCUGGGCUCAACUCAGGAAGUGCAUUGGAUACUGCUAGGCUAGAGUACAGAAGAGGAGAGCGGAAUUCCAGGUGUAGAGGUGAAAUUCGUAGAUAUCUGGAGGAACAACAGUGGCGAAGGCGGCUCUCUGGACUGUAACUGACGCUGAGGCGCGAAAGCGUGGGGAGCAAACAGG
rnacentral:rRNA from 1 species